rnacentral:lncRNA from 1 species
AAAUCCACCAUUUGACAAAUUGUAAAUAUAAUCAAAUUCAACAAAGCUGUAAAUGAGCAGAACAUAAUAGUUAUGAAUCUAGUAAUAAAUAGGCAAGUAAGUUAUGUUAUGAGCCUACUUGAAAAUCAUUCAAUAAAUAGUUAAAGCAUUUUUAUUUUUUUUGCAGUAAAAUUAAAUUGCAUUAACAAAUUCAGUUUGUUAUACUCCAUCAUUUACUCAAAACACAUCCGAGAAAUUGUGGAUCAUCGUGAAUUGAUUAAAGACGAAACCUUUUAAAAUUAAAAUUGUGUAUUUUACACAACAUACACUUGCAUGCUUUAAUUCAUUACAAUUUCAGUCUUUUUGCGCAAUUAACUUAUUAAAGAAUAUGCAUAAGUUUGAUGUACCAUGUACAAUAUGUAUUGACAUGAAAUUGUUUAGCGAAUUGCUGAUGAAACAUUCAAUAAUUAAGUUUGUGAUUUAUAUAUGUCUGAGAGGUUUAUAAUUAAAUCCAAACUCCAAUUUUUUUCUUCUAUUGUAUCGUACAUUAGCAAUUAUUAGAAUUUUUAAAAAUAUAUUAAAAUGAUAAAGCACAUUACAUCAAUACUAAAUACCAUGGUGUCAAUUUUAAAUUCAAUAUCAAUGUGAGUUACAACCAACUUAACUGUGGGUUGACAUUCAUAAAUUUAACUUAUACAUAGAGAUAUUACCAUAAUAUAUUGUAUCUUAUAAGAACUUAUAGUGUCAUAUGUAAUGCGUAUAACAAUAUUUUUUAAUCUUGAAACUAAGAUAUUGAUUAGCACCAUCUGAAUUAUUUUAUUAAUUUAGUCAUGUUGAUUUAUAUUAAAUAUAUGAACACCAUCAUAAUCAAAUUUUAAAUAUAUAUACACACACACACACAUAUAUAUAUAUAUAUAUAUACACACACACAAACAAACAAACAAACAAGUCACUCUAAAGUGACAAGAGAAAUGAGAGCUGGAUGGAUGUUGAGAAUCCAAGUGGUGUUUCGAAAUUAGCAAUGCUUUAUGAUUGCAAACAUAGCCAAGUUGGAUAAAAAUCAUUGGACAACAAUUCCAAAAAAUUUUAUGCAUGCAUUUAUUUAUUUUAUAAAAUGAGUAGAAUAAGGUUUAAAAAUUCCCAUUUGUAGAUAAUAUGUGAAAAUGAAUAUAAAGGUUGUGUGUAUAUGUGUUUAUGUGUAAAUAUAUUUAUAUAUAUGUAUAUAUAUACACACACACAAAUAAAUAAUCAAUGGGAUAAUAACAAUCUUGAAAAUUGACUUGUUUAAAAGAAAAACUAGAAGCAAUCCAUACAAUAAGUUGGAUGCAAAAUAAAAAAAAAUGCAAACAAAUACAUGACUUAGCAUAUUAUAUCAAUUUGAAAUUUGACCAUAUUUAAGAAUUUAAAGGGCAAUCAAGCAAAGUUGAGGAAGGUAAUAUUACAAGGUUGCAAAAGAUGAGAAAUUAACAUUGUUAAGAGAGUAAACCUAAGAAGGCUACUUAUUUAUACAAAUUUUAUGUUGUUCAUAUCAUAUAUUGGAAAGAUCAUUUAUGCAAGCAAAAGAAGACAAUGUUGUUGAGGACAAAUUUAAGUGUACAUAUAAACUAAGAGAGCUAGUUUGAAGCCUACUAGUACUAUAAUGAAAUACAAUUUUGAUUGCA